UACGAAGGGGGCUAGCGUUGUUCGGAUUUACUGGGCGUAAGGCGCACGUAGGCGGAUCUUUAAGUCAGAGGUGAGAUCCCAAGGCUCAACCUUGGAACUGCCUUUGAUACUGGGGAUCUUGAGUCCGGGAGAGGUGAGUGGAACUGCGAGUGUAGAGGUGAAAUUCGUAGAUAUUCGCAAGAACACCAGUGGCGAAGGCGGCUCACUGGCCCGGUACUGACGCUGAGGUGCGAAAGCGUGGGGAGCAAACAGG
rnacentral:rRNA from 1 species